AUUGAACGCUGGCGGCAUGCCUUACACAUGCAAGUCGAACGGCAGCACGGGGGCAACCCUGGUGGCGAGUGGCGAACGGGUGAGUAAAGCAUCGGAACGUGCCCUGGAGUGGGGGGAUAACGUAGCGAAAGUUACGCUAAUACCGCAUAUUCUGUGAGCAGGAAAGCAGGGGGAUCGCAAGACCUUGCGCUCUGGGAGCGGCCGAUGUCGGAUUAGCUAGUUGGUGGGGUAAAGGCCUACCAAGGCGACGAUCCGUAGCGGGUCUGAGAGGAUGAUCCGCCACACUGGGACUGAGACACGGCCCAGACUCCUACGGAGGCAGCAGUGGGGAAUUUUGGACAAUGGGCGCAAGCCUGAUCCAGCCAUGCCGCGUGAGUGAAGAAGGCCUGGUGUAAG
rnacentral:rRNA from 1 species